rnacentral:rRNA from 1 species
ACUCCUACGGGAGGCAGCAGUGGGGAAUUUUGGACAAUGGGCGCAAGCCUGAUCCAGCCAUUCCGCGUGCAGGAUGAAGGCCCUCGGGUUGUAAACUGCUUUUGUACAGAACGAAAAGGUUUCUACUAAUACUAGGAGCUCAUGACGGUACUGUAAGAAUAAGCACCGGCUAACUACGUGCCAGCAGCCGCGGUAAUAC